GUGCAUGCAGACGAUUCCCGUUCUGAUAAAGCAGUAUUGGAUUCUGCAGGCUCAUUUUCGUGGGCUAUAAAUAAAUAAACCCUAUUAAUGUGGAAUUCUCCAGCAGACGGAUGGCAUGAAAGCACGAGAGAAGAGAGGAAUCAAGAAGUGAAGUGGAACUUGUAUUCGGACGUGCCUUAAUGGCUACCCACCUAGGAAUGCAUCUUAGGCUUCUAUUCUAAAGUGAUCCAAGCUCUGAUUGGCUGCUGGAAGUGGAGGACUUUAAAAGGUCAACUGUGGUGAGACGGUUGCUGGGACUGGAGAGCUCCUGGAUUUCCCUACCCCUUCAGCCGACGACCAACCUUUAGUCUUGUACAACUGUUCAUGCUUGCAAAUUUUUGAGAGUUUGAGCUUGUAGGGGUGGCCUGCCUAUUUAUGUGAUUACUUUUGAUUGUGUUUAUGUUUAAGGAGGAAGGUAAGCUUCCUGUAUUUUUCUUUAAAUAUACAUAAGUAAUUUAGCUCAUUUACUUUGUACAUUCUUUUGUUUGUUGUUUAGGCCUGUGGCCACCCUGACGAGAUGCUCAUUUAAGCUACUAUUUUUCUAUACCAAAUCUAUUAAAUUUCUCUCAUCUGAGUGUCCAAGUUUGGUUGUCGACCAAAGGGGAUCUAUUGCAUUAAGUUUUUUGUUUGUUUGUUUGUUUUGUUUGGGAAAUUCACCACCCACAACACUGAGCUCAAACUCCCCUCUCGCCUUGCAAUUGGGAGGGAGCCUCGGGCUUGAGAAUCGUAUGAGCUCAGGGAUCUCUCCCGGGACAGCAUGCCAAACAAGCGUUAUAAUCAAUCAUCAGCUGACAUCUCUAC
rnacentral:lncRNA from 1 species